rnacentral:pre_miRNA from 1 species
CAACUACUCCCUCUGUCCCAAACUUCUUGUCUUAGAUUUGUCUAGAUACGGAUGUAUCUAAUACUAAAAUGUGACUUGAUACAUCCGUAUCUAGACAAAUCUAAGACAAGAAUUUCGGGACGGAGGGAGUACUUU